rnacentral:rRNA from 1 species
GAGUUUGAUCCUGGCUCAGGAUGAACGCCGGCGGUGUGCCUAAUACAUGCAAGUCGAGGGGCAUCAGGAAGAAAGCUUGCUUUCUUUGCUGGCGACCGGCGCACGGGUGAGUAACACGUAUCCAACCUGCCCUUUACUCGGGGAUAGCCUUUCGAAAGAAAGAUUAAUACCCGAUAGCAUAAUGAUUCCGCAUGGUUUCAUUAUUAAAGGAUUCCGGUAAAGGAUGGGGAUGCGUUCCAUUAGGUUGUUGGUGAGGUAACGGCUCACCAAGCCUUCGAUGGAUAGGGGUUCUGAGAGGAACGGUCCCCCAAUUGGAACUGAGACACGGUCCAAACUCCUACGGGAGGCAGCAGUGAGGAUAUUGGUCAAUGGGCUUAGCCUGAACCAGCCAAGUAGCGUGAAGGAUGAAGG